CCUUAGCCCCGAUUGAAACGGCAUCCUUUUUUGAGGCACGAGAAAAAGAUAUAGUGGAAAGCGGGAAAUAGC
rnacentral:sRNA from 1 species